GGACCAUUAAUGAUUGGAGUUUGCCAACCUACGUCGUAUGGGACAGUGAGCACUGAGCACGCUGUUCACGUCAUCAUCGCUGUGAGCUUCGACUUGUUAGGAGAUGAAUCGUCGGGCCUCUACAGUACGUGACCCUGGCCACACGGCUGCACAGACAGGCCCUGUGGUGGGCCUCUAACUUCGACAUUCCACCAUGACAGAAGCCAAAACAUGUGUUCUUCAUACAGCCGGAGAAUCUUGUGUUCACAGUGAGGGGUAGGCUGGGAGAAAAGGUAUAUUGUCGAGACUGAUGAAGAACUUUGCCAUUUGUAUUAGCUCGCCGGCCACAUCUGACACGCAUUUGACCAUUGCCGGCGUAGCGUGCACCAGGGUUCUCUGUGUUUUCCGAAGUACAGUGUAACUUUCACGCCUCAGUUUGUCGAUUGGACCCUUAAUUCGGGCUCACAAGCACCCUUUGGACGUGCACAGCUUGUGUGCGAUGCACUUUACUCCGCACUCAGGCUUAUCUCAAGCCUUCGUUUUCGAAAGCAACGACCGACUUGAGGUGUCGGGUCAUUUCCUGGUUUUUGCGAUGCGCGCCGGGGCCUUUCUCCGAGGCAGCUUGAUUUGAAUGUGGCGUGGUGUGCCGGGGUGAAGAGGACACGGCUAACACUGUUGACAGUCUGCUGACAUCCAUAUCUGCUGUGUUCUACUGCUCCCCUCCCUACGAACCCAGCAACCCACUCAUCUCUGCUGCAAACACCCCCCCCCCCCCCCCCCCCCCUUCUCUGCAGGAGACUGGCCUGUCAGGUCGGUGAUGACUGCAGGGAGAACCGGAGUUAGCCCCCCACCUUCUCCACCCCGCCCCCCACAUCCCCUUCCCAGUAUGAGGACGCUCCGUGCAGGCUGUCUGCCAUGUCACCCCCCCUAGGCUAUUUUGAACUGCCUCGCUGCACCUUAGAAAUGAACUGAAACCUUCUAAACUUAAAUUCCAUGUGAUUAUGCAAUUUCAAUGUCCCUUGUAGAGCUAGAUUGGUUAGCGGUUAGCUUUUUUUGAAAUACAAAGGUUGUCAACCCCAAAUUCCUUUAAAACGUUUAAACCUGUUUAGCAACUGUUUGUGUGUUGUACCUCACUUGUUCGAAAUUACUUAGGCAUGUUAAUAAUUUAAAAGUGUUACUACAAGCUUGUUAGACAUUUUGACACCGCGGUCACAUUCCACUGAGGCCUUUUCAUUUGUCCGUUAUAUUUUUCGUUCUACAGAAAUGUACGCCUUCUUUUGAAUGAUUAUGUUGAGGAAAUAUUGCCUUUUAACAUGUGUUUAGAGUGUGUUAGUGGCCGAGAACGCAAGCUAGACCUUUGUUUUAAUCUCAACAUGAUUUUUUCUUUUGUCACUGGCUUAGAGCCACAUGUAUUUUUGGACGUGCUUUGCUCUCACAGAAACCAUCUGAAGUGGAGCACAUUGAAGAAAGGUUUAAAGUUGGUGUAAAGUUAUUGGAUGCCAAAGUCUGCACCACUAAACGAAGGCACUGCAGAGCAAAUGACAAAUAUCGACCUGAAAAACACCAAUCAAAAGACCAGUGGUAAAGAAUUGCUGCCCGUGUGAACAUGGCCAACUGUGAACAAAGACCACUAAAUCUGACCACAACUGGGAUUGUCCUCUUUGUGCGCGCUCAUGUCUCAGUACCCAGCGCACCAACCCUACUCAUUCCUCUGAAACACGACACAUCAGAGAUGUUCAGACCAGGCAUGGCCGUGUCUUGCCGUCAGCUGUGUGGCUAAUGAUUUGCAGGUGGGCCUCAAAUACAGCUAAUGACAGCUGCCCUUUUAGAGGAGUACAAAGUCCAGUGCCCUCAGGGAGACCUUGUCCAAAAAAUCACAGGCCCAAAGGUAGAAAAACAUAGGUGUUGUACUCCCUUUAUUUCAAGACACCAUGAAGAACUGUGCCGCGGUGGGAUCCUUAGGGAAUUUACUGACGCAAGCAUCAGCAAAUAAAGGAAAUAAAUACCAGCCAAGAGGCAAAACUAGCAGAUGUUUUCUGUACUUCCCAUUCAUUCUGUGUCAUUCUGGUAAGUGGUGAAGAAAAUAACACAUCGAUUAUGAAAAACAUAUGAUGGUAAAUGUAGGAACUCUUGAGACUGCUUUGACACAAGUAGCCCAAUUACGAUAUAUUUUCCCACUAACUGGUCUUUUAACCGCCAUUUUCAGAUAAUUAAAUGGAGCCUUAUUAACAGUGUUAUUACGGCUGAGUUUACAGAAGCAGCAAUUUUUUUUUCUUCAAAUCUUUUUUUAUUUAAAA
ensembl:lncRNA